UGAUUGGUGGGUAGUCGUAAUUGUC
rnacentral:piRNA from 1 species